GCCUACGGGGGGCAGCAGUGAGGAAUAUUGGUCAAUGGGCGGGAGCCUGAACCAGCCAAGCCGCGUGAGGGAAGAAGGUACAGCGUAUCGUAAACCUCUUUUGUCAGGGAACAAAGGCGGGGACUAGUCCCCGGAUGAGGGUACCUGAAGAAAAAGCAUCGGCUAACUCCGUGCCAGCAGCCGCGGUAAUACGGAGGAUGCGAGCGUUAUCCGGAUUUAUUGGGUUUAAAGGGUGCGUAGGCGGAUUUUUAAGUCAGCGGUAAAAUGUCCGGGCUCAACCCGGGCCGGCCGUUGAAACUGGGGAU
rnacentral:rRNA from 1 species